rnacentral:tRNA from 1 species
UUGUUAGCUCAGGUGGUAGAGCAGUGGACUUUUAAUCCAUUGGUCGAGGGUUCGAGUCCCUCAC